rnacentral:rRNA from 1 species
GAUGAACGCUGGCGGCGUGCCUAAUACAUGCAAGUCGAGCGAACGGACGAGAAGCUUGCUUCUCUGAUGUUAGCGGCGGACGGGUGAGUAACACGUGGAUAACCUACCUAUAAGACUGGGAUAACUUCGGGAAACCGGAGCUAAUACCGGAUAAUAUUUUGAACCGCAUGGUUCAAAAGUGAAAGACGGUCUUGCUGUCACUUAUAGAUGGAUCCGCGCUGCAUUAGCUAGUUGGUAAGGUAACGGCUUACCAAGGCAACGAUGCAUAGCCGACCUGAGAGGGUGAUCGGACAAACUGGAACAGAGACAAGGACCAGAGUACUACGGGAGGAAGCAGUAGGGAAUAGUACGCAAUGGGCGAAAGCCUGACGGAGCAACGCCGCGUGAGUGAGGAAGGUCUUCGGAUCGUAAAACUCUGUUAUUAGGGAAGAACAUAUGUGUAAGUAACUGUGCACAUAUUGACGGUACCUAAUAAGAAAGCAACGGCUAACUACGUG